rnacentral:rRNA from 1 species
UACGUAGGGUGCAAGCGUUGUCCGGAAUUAUUGGGCGUAAAGAGCUCGUAGGCGGUGUGUCACGUCGGCCGUGAAAACCUGGGGCUCAACUCUGGGCGUGCGGUCGAUACGGGCAUCACUAGAGUUCGGCAGGGGAGACUGGAAUUCCUGGUGUAGCGGUGAAAUGCGCAGAUAUCAGGAGGAACACCGGUGGCGAAGGCGGGUCUCUGGGCCGAUACUGACGCUGAGGAGCGAAAGCAUGGGUAGCGAACAGG